rnacentral:rRNA from 2 species
UAUACAACUUUCAGCAACGGAUCUCUUGGCUCUCGCAUCGAUGAAGAACGCAGCGAAAUGCGAUAAGUAAUGUGAAUUGCAGAAUUCAGUGAAUCAUCGAAUCUUUGAACGCACCUUGCGCUCCUUGGUAUUCCGAGGAGCAUGCCUGUUUGAGUGUCAUUAAAUUCUCAACUCCU